UAAAGUAUAUCCAAGUGGUAAGACAUCGAUUUUUGGUACCGGCAAGCAAAGGUUCGAAUCCUUUUACUCUAG
rfam:Capsicum annuum cultivar Zunla-1 chromosome 5, whole genome shotgun sequence